rnacentral:misc_RNA from 1 species
GAUGAAGAACAUAGCGAAAUGCGAUAAGUAGUGUGAAUUGCAGAAUUCAGUGAAUCAUCGAAUCUUUGAACGCACAUUGCGCCCCUUGGUAUUCCAUGGGGCAUGCCUGUUCGAGCAUCAUUUGUACCUUCAAGCUCUGCUUGGUGUUGGGUGUUUGUCUCGCCUCUGCGUGUAGACUCGCCUCAAAACAAUUGGCAGCCGGCGUAUUGAUUUCGGAGCGCAGUACAUCUCGCGCUUUGCACUCAUAACGACGACGUCCAAAAGUACAUUUUACACUCUUGACCUCGGAUCAGGUAGGGAUACCCGCUGAACUUAAGCAUAUCAAUAAGCGGAGGA